UAAGAGGGGUUACUGAGCUCCUUCAACCCAAGCCAGGCCUACAGCCGUUCCCAGGUAAACUUCUCAGCUGUCAGCAACCUCCAGGCCCCAACUUUCCUUCAAAUGAGAAGUGGGGAGUCUCUGAGUACCUGACCCUCAGGUGCCCAGAUGUUCAUUCAGUCCUGAGACAGUAUCUGGUGGGAGACCCCUUCCCACUUCUACUUCGGAUGGGGAGCCAGAGUAAGUCCGAUGAUCCCUCCUUGGUACACUCCGUUUCCAUCGCUUAGGGAUCUCUGGCUGGCUUGUACCCCUUCCCUCCAGCCCCAGCCCCAGCUCAGUUGCUGAAUUGCUGACAGCUUAUCUCAUCAGCACAGGGAGAGCCACUUGGCCCAAACCGGGUACAAUUCCCCUUCCUCUCAGCGGGAACCUUAGAGCUUCCCUCCCGCCCCUAAACCAGCAUUGGCUUCUUCCCCCCUCUACUCUGAGCCGGCCCCUUUGCAGCAGAGCCAAGGGGGCUGGAGCCAGGCACCAUCAUGGGGGGAGGGGAGAGGUGCACGGGGGGAAGGAUGAGGCCUGGAGAGGGGCCCACCGCCCCCGCAGCCAGCAGGGAAGAGAGGCUGAGCCAUUUCCUAUAAUGUCUUACAGAGACUGCAGACUUUUCCCUGGAGACCCCACCUGGGGCAGUCAGUACUGCCUUUCAGAUCCCAGUGUGAAGGGAAGUGUAGGUGGGAAGCAGCCCCAGGGCUGGCUUAUCUUGAGCCCCUCACUCAGCUGUGCACACACCCAACACUCCUAAUUUUUAGCUCCACCACGUACACUAGGGCCCCCUCCCCCACCCCUUGUCCUCAGGCUUGCCCUUCUGGAAAGCUCAGAGACAUCUGCUGUGUCACGGAGUCAAGGCUAUUUCCAGGCCAGGGCAGGAGGGUGGGGUGUGGGGGUGGUGGUGGCGGGGGAGGUAGUACCGGGGCAUGAAGAGGUAAGGCCCAGGGAGAAGGCUGAACCGGGCAAAGGGCCCCAGACGGAUCUCAGCUGCUAAUUCCGGAGGUUUGGAAAUGGCCUUGAGGGAGACUAGGGAGAGGACAGACAUCUAGUUGAAUAGUGAACUCUCUGGGGGCAGCCUGUAGUGGUGGACAACACCUGGCACCAUACACAGUUCCCUUCCAGGGCCUUGGGGUGCAUCCUUCCAGGGGGGUCCUUCCAGUAUAUCCUAGAAGGGCUCUAAGAGUAGACCCAAGGUGCGAACUGGAAACCUUGGUCCUAGCAGGCAGGGCUGUGAGGAGUGAGGCAGCUUCUUGCCUCUCAAAACCCACCCUGGGCUUCUGGACUCCUAGGGCUAGUGUGUCGCCCCACCCCCACUCAUAACUGACACACCUUCCAAAUCUGGUUACACUCAAUGACUUCCUCUCUUCCUCAGUCUUCCCCUCCCUCUAGGGCAGCUUGACCCCUUAGCUGUAGCCAAUCCCGGGCCAGGCGUGGGUUGGAACAGGGCAUGGAAAGGCAGGAGUCCCCCUCCCAGGCGACUGAAGCUACCAGGGCAAUCAGGGGUUAAAGCUCCCAGGACGUUGCUCAGCGCCUUUUUAGGUUUCUGAGGCAGGGCUCUGUUUGCCCUAGUCCGGCCAGAUCCCCAGAUGGGGAGCACAUGCCUGCCAACCGCUUCGGUGAAGCUUCGGGCCACUAGUCCUCCUGGCCUCAGGGCCCUGAGAACCCUGAGAUAGUUGGGUUUGCUUUUGCCCAGCGGCGAAGGGGAUGGGAAGCCAUUUGCUUUCAUGUGGGUGGCGGGAUACGCCCCCAACGAAUUACACUGGCCACCAGCCCUGUCCUCGCAAGCAUGUGCAAGCAAGGGUUGCCCGAUGGAAGGAAAAAGAAGGGACAUUGAGCAGCAUACGUGGCCACACAGAGUAAAACCAAGCUGCAAAGAAGACUCUCAAAGGAGUGGGGCUUCCAGGAAGACUCAGGUGAGGCAUGCUGCAGAGAAGAUCUGAGAGCGGCCAAGCUGCCUAAAAGACGUUUGGACCAAUUGAGCCACCUGUGAAAGACACUCUCCAGCCCACUGUGCUGCCUGCAGGCUGUGCAGUAUGCUCCAGGUUGCCAACGUUGUAAGCUCUCAUGCAUGCUGGGGUGGGCUUUGAUGAUGCAGCUCUCUUUUAGUCAUUUCUGCUCCUGUACAUAGCCCCAAUUAAAGCCAUUGGUUCACCAAA